rnacentral:rRNA from 1 species
GCUAUAAUGCAGUCGAGCGAGCCGAACUAAUUGAUUACCUUCGGGUAUGAAGUUAGGGAAGCGAGCGGCGGAUGGGUGAGUAACACGUGGGUAACCUACCCUAUAGUCUGGGAUACCACUUGGAAACAGGUGCUAAUACCGGAUAAAAGGAGAGAUCACAUGAUUUCUUUUUGAAAGGCGGCGUAAGCUGUCGCUAAAGGAUGGACCCGCGGUGCAUUAGCUAGCUGGUAAGGUAACGGCUUACCAAGGCAACGAUGCAUAGCCGAGUUGAGAGACUGAUCGGCCACAUUGGGACUGAGACACGGCCCAAACUCCUACGGGAGGCAGCAGUAGGGAAUCUUCCACAAUGGACGCAAGUCUGAUGGAGCAACGCCGCGUGAGUGAAGAAGGUUUCCGGAUCGUAAAGCUCUGUUGUUGGUGAAGAAAGAUAGUGAGAGUAACUGCUCAUUAUUUGCCGGUAAUCAACCAGAAAGUCACGGCUAACUACGUGCCAGCAGCCGCGGUAAUGCGUAGGUGGCAAGCGUUGUCCGGAUUUAUUGGGCGUAAAGCGAGCGCAGGCGGAAAGAUAAGUCAGAUGUGAAAGCCCUCGGCUUAACCGAGGAAUAGCAUCGGAAACUGUCUUUCUUGAGUGCAGAAGAGGAGAGUGGAACUCCAUGUGUAGCGGUGGAAUGCGUAGAUAUAUGGAAGAACACCAGUGGCGAAGGCGGCUCUCUGGUCUGUAACUGACGCUGAGGCUCGA